rnacentral:rRNA from 1 species
AGAGUUUGAUCCUGGCUCAGGACGAACGCUGGCGGCGUGCCUAAUACAUGCAAGUCGAGCGAAUCGAUGGGAGCUUGCUCCCAUUGAUUAGCGGCGGACGGGUGAGUAACACGUGGGUAACCUGCCUGUAAGACUGGGAUAACUUCGGGAAACCGGAGCUAAUACCGGAUAGUUUCUUUUCUCGCAUGAGAGAAGAUGGAAAGAUGGUUUCGGCUAUCACUUACAGAUGGACCCGCGGCGCAUUAGCUAGUUGGUGAGGUAAUGGCUCACCAAGGCAACGAUGCGUAGCCGACCUGAGAGGGUGAUCGGCCACACUGGGACUGAGACACGGCCCAGACUCCUACGGGAGGCAGCAGUAGGGAAUCUUCCGCAAUGGACGAAAGUCUGACGGAGCAACGCCGCGUGAGCGAAGAAGGCCUUCGGGUCGUAAAGCUCUGUUGUUAGGGAAGAACAAGUACAAGAGUAACUGCUUGUACCUUGACGGUACCUAACCAGAAAGCCACGGCUAACUACGUGCCAGCAGCCGCGGUA